rnacentral:rRNA from 1 species
AUUGAACGCUGGCGGCAGGCUUAACACAUGCAAGUCGAGCGGGGGAAGGUAGCUUGCUACCGGACCUAGCGGCGGACGGGUGAGUAAUGCUUAGGAAUCUGCCUAUUAGUGGGGGACAACAUCUCGAAAGGGAUGCUAAUACCGCAUACGUCCUACGGGAGAAAGCAGGGGAUCUUCGGACCUUGCGCUAAUAGAUGAGCCUAAGUCGGAUUAGCUAGUGUGGUGGGGUAAAGGCCUACCAAGGCGAUGAUCUGUAGCGGGUCUGAGAGGCUGGUCCGGCACUCUGGGACUGAGACACGGCGCAGACUCCUACGGGAGGCAGCAGUGUGGAAUAUUGGACAAUGGGGGGAACCCUGAUCCAGCCAUGCCGCGUGUGUGAAGAAGGCCUUAUGGUUGUAAAGCACUUUAAGCGAGGAGGAGGCUACUUUAGUUAAUACCUAGAGAUAGUGGACGUUACUCGCAGAAUAAGCACCGGCUAACUCUGUGCCAGCCGCCGCGGUAA